rnacentral:rRNA from 1 species
ACGGGACCGCACAAGCGGUGGAUGAUGUGGAUUAAUUCGAUGCAACGCGAAAAACCUUACCUACCCUUGACAUGCCAGGAACCUGCCAGAGAUGGUUGGGUGCUCGAAAGAGAACCUGGACACAGGUGCUGCAUGGCUGUCGUCAGCUCGUGUCGUGAGAUGUUGGGUUAAGUCCCGCAACGAGCGCAACCCUUAUCAUUAGUUGCUACGCAAGGGCACUCUAAUGAGACUGCCGGUGACAAACCGGAGGAAGGUGGGGAUGACGUCAAGUCCUCAUGGCCCUUAUGGGUAGGGCUUCACACGUCAUACAAUGGUCGGUACAGAGGGUUGCCAAGCCGCGAGGCGGAGCCAAUCCCACAAAGCCGAUCGUAGUCCGGAUUGUUCUCUGCAACUCGAGAGCAUGAAGUCGGAAUCGCUAGUAAUCGCAGGUCAGCAUACUGCGGUGAAUACGUUCCCGGGCCUU